AACCUGCUGCUGGAUCAUUACA
rnacentral:rRNA from 1 species